rnacentral:lncRNA from 1 species
GUGAACCCAGGCGUGUUGAAGGGAGAAGGCUCACCGUUUGGCAGGGCCUGUCACGUGGUAGGUGUGUCUGUGCCCACAUGGGGGCUGCCCGAGGAGACUCAGCCGGCCUUCCCGAGAACCCUGAUGGGGAGGGCCAGGCACAGAGCAGCCAUUGUUCACUGUCUUCUCAUUCACUGUUGAAAACCCGCUGCACUUGGAAACCCAUUAACGGAACGUUGGAUGAGGAAUGGGAGCACCUAGGUGGGAAGUCUUCCCAGGAAUGCAGGCGUGUGCCCGGUGGGGUGCUUGGGGCGUCUGUCUUCCCACCCCACGGUGGACGAGACUUGGCCAGCAGGUCAGCACUCGGGAUGCAUCUUCCUUUCCAGAUCUUGGCCUAGCUGCUGCGUGUGACGGAGCUGGUGGUGAAGAUCUCUUCCAACGCCUGGUGUUCCAGGGGAAAAAAAUUCUGUUUUUCUCAUUUGUUACGGUGAACAUUUUUUCUUUAAGAAGUAGCAGGCUUUCCAGUCAUUUGUGGUUCUGCAAGUUGGAAUGGGAUUAUCCCUGUGAUUGGAAACGUGAUGUGAAGCAGGACCCUGCCCUGGACAGACCUGUGGAGUGAGUGAGCCGGGAGCCGUCCUUCUCCCGAGGACUCACGGCCUUUCCCUUCUUCCCCACCUCACUCAAGCCUGAGCUCAGCAAGUUCUUUGACCUUUGAAGUGAACUCAGAUGACUUUAUCUGUAAGUCGUCUUCCUGAAAAUGGCAUAACUUGAGAUUGCUCUCCCUCUGAGAGCGUUGGGAAUCAAAGCCUGCCCUUCCUCUUGGUGUCGAAGUCUGUCUGUACCUAAAGGCGUUCAGGGCCUGGGUCUGAGGAGGGUGGUACCCAGAGUCCUUAGAGUCAACCAGCUUGGAAACCGCUGCUCACCAGGAAGUGGCGGCCGCUCUGGCCUGGGGCGGCUGGCAUGAUGGAAAACCUUUGCACCCGAAGGUUUCUGAAACAACUUUCAAAGACUUCCAGAGAGGAGCACAUUUGUUUUUUCCACGGAUAGACUAAAAAGGAAACCAUGCUCUAUGUCCAGCGCUGUCCUCUUGGAACCGUAUCGCACCGAGUCCAGUUUAGCCAGCGUCUGUGGAGGAAGAGCCGAGCCGACCUGCGCGGGCUGUUUGUGUUCUGAGGUGCAUAGUGGGCGCGGACCUGAGGGGUGGAGGACAGCAAGCAGAAGCAAGGGAAAGGCCAGCUGGAGGGCGGGGCGGCUUUUCUUUUCCCCUGGAGCUCGAAGGGGGAGGGUGUUGGUGGCAUUCCCCAAUCCUCCAGCUGUUUCAUGCAGAACUCUGGGGCGAAUGCUGCUCUAGACCACGAGGGACAAUUUCCCUUUCACGUCGAUGUAUAUGUGCUUGUUGUUCAUUGACGGAAAAGUGUGAGCGUGGAGGCAGGGGGAUUCCUGUCUGGAAGUCUCCAUCCCUUCUGCAGGGAGUCUCUGUUUUCCCAGAGUGUCGGGGGUGUUGAGGUUUUCCUCCAGCCUCUCGCUGCUGGGAAGUGGGAUGCUCUGUCUGCAGGUGAGGGAGAGAGCCCUGUACGGGACAUUCCAACUGUGCCAGGCAGGUUUUUAACGUGACGAGAUUAAAACACAAACAAAACACUCACUUUGAGAUCAUCGUGGAUUCAUACAGUGUUGGAAGCGAUAACACCCGGAGAUUCUGAGAAGUUGCUUUUCACCCAGUUUCCGCCCAGUGGAAACGUUGCACAAUGAUACCACAGUGCCGCAGUCGGACAGUGAACCUUGUGCAUGUUCUGUAGGUUUGACAUGUUCCUGUGUGAGUGUUAGGGUCUGUGCAGUUCUAUCACAUAAAAAGUCUUGUGAUGACCACCGCAAGUCAAACCACAGAAUAGUCACAUCACAGAACCCCAAGGGGCAGCCUCUUAGAACUUAGCUGACUCUCCCGCUCUCUCCCACGCCAAACCCCAGGCAAUCACGACUCCUCCACCUGUAAUUUUGUCAUUUUAAGCGCUCUCUGUAAAUGGAAUCACAUGGUAUGUUUCAUUUUGAGAUUGGGUUUUUAACAGGCUGGCCACUUUUAAUCCAUUGUUGCCAAUCUUUGCAGCAAUCCUCCACGUUAGGAUCAUGAAUUCUCUUCCAUCAGCAAGAAGUGCCCCCUCUGGCGGGCACAGGGGCAUGCCCAAGACCACCCUGCUGGUCAGGUAGUCAGGAGGGAGCGUAGGUGCACCUGACCAAGGCCUUGACUCCUUUCAUAGGACCUUACCUUCCUCCUGGGUCCAGGUACCUGUUCUCUUUUCCCCUCCCUCUGCAUUUGAGGCAAAGUUGAAGUUGUUUUCCUACAGUCUGAGCCUUGGUGUGUGUGGUGCUGGGCAUUGAGCCCAGGGACUUGAGCCUACCAGGCAGGUGCUCUGAGCUGCGGUCCCAUCCUAACUUUUUUUUUUUAAAUGUGAGGCAAGCACUCUACCAACCGAGCUAUGCCCCCCAGCCCUCUAACGUUUCAGACAGAUCGGAUCACAUUAUUUUAGACGAUGGGUGUCUUUUGGUACAGCUCUGUUUGGGGCCUGUUGCUCUUUUCUGUGCUGACCUUCAGCACUGGACACUCCGGCACGUGUGAUGAGGGUCGUUGUUGUGUGGGAUGAAGAGAGACCUGCUCACUGUCUCUUGGGUCCAUAUGUGAGCAUUGUUGGCUUGCAGCACAUCUGGCUGAGUGCCUAGCCUGGUAGGUGAGGUUACUGUGGUGCCAACAUACUCCAGAGCCGCUGAGGCACAACCCCACUGCAAACAAGGAGCCACCAGCACACCGAGGGAUGGAGGGAAGGCAAAGGAUGCAAAUCUAUGAACCACAGUAGCUCCAAUACUAGAAAACAAGGCUUUUAAAUCUCUGUACAAAUAAUGAAACUGGGGUUAUGGCUCAGCGGAAGAGAGCUUGCGAGACACCAGGGGCUGGGUUCAAUCCUCAGCACCACAUAAAAAUAAAUGAAUAAAAUAAAGGUUUAAAAAAAUAAAAUAAAAUCUCUGUACAGGAUGCAGUUUUUAACAAGACUGAGAAACAGCAAACUGUGGGUUUCUUGGCUCUGAAUCCCCAGUCAUGCCCAUUUUUCAGCAUCUUUGAGCUGGCCCUUCCCUCUGCCUGGAGAAUUCUUCCAAGAUCUCCGUGCGGCUCUGCUCGGCCCCUUGUCUUCCUAUGGGUCUCUGCACAAUAUUACCUCCAACCUGUGGCCUUUCCUGAUAUUAAAAACCGCAGCCCCCCACUUAAUUCCUCCCCAUCGCUGUUUGAUCUCAUUGAACGCACCCUUCUUCUCCUCCUGCCCCAGCCUACCCAGGUUUGUUCCUGCUGGAAUGCAGGCCUCGGAUGGGCGGUGGGCGCAGCCUGUUUUGUUCACUGGGUAUCCUCAGGCAUGGACGAGAAUGCAACAGAUAUUAUUUGAGUAAAUGAGUGUUUUUAAGAGGAAAGUGGGCAACCGCCCGGUUAUAGGACACAAGAGAAUAAUCAGGCCUGCACACGUAAGCAGCUGGUGCACACUCAUUUAAAAAGGUUGAGUCAGUUGAGUCCGGAUGCGCUCUUUUCUUGCCUGCUUGGAACAUGUCUCUGGUAGUGACUUUUCCGAUGGAAAAUGAUUGACUUUGGGGAGCUCUUUGAGGUGUGUAGGAAAUUAACCAGCAGAUCUAGGUAAUUGAACCUUGCAAACUAUCCUAGAAAUGUUUAUGCUUCUGCCAAAUUGAAGCAUGAGCUCAGUGUUUGCAUAACCACCUGUGUAAUUACCCGCGUUAGCACUGCAGCAUGUAUUUGCUGAGCUACACUCUUCAAUUUUCAAUAAAAGUAUUUUCACAUGUUGG